rnacentral:ribozyme from 1 species
UGCCCUGCAAUUUCUAUCCCUACCUCCUCGUGGUACUGGCCGGGGUACGAGUAACCUUGGGGAAGA